ACGAACGCUGGCGGCGUGCCUAACACAUGCAAGUUGAGCGACGAACCAGGGCUUGCCCUGGGGCAAAGCAGCGAACGGGUGAGUAACACGUGGGUAACCUACCCCGAUAACCGGGACAACCCGAGGAAACUCGGGCUAAUACCGGAUGUGCUCACUGGACUUCGGUUCAGUGCGUAAAGGAAGCUUCGGCCUCCGUAUCGGGAGGGGCCCGCGGCCCAUUAGUUUGUUGGUGAGGUAACGGCUCACCAAGACCGCGAUGGGUAGCUGGUCUGAGAGGACGAGCGGCCACACUGGGACUGAGACACGGCCCAGACUCCUACGGGAGGCAGCAGUGGGGAAUCUUGCGCAAUGCGCGAAAGCGUGACGCAGCAACGCCGCGUGGGGGAAGAAGGCCUUCGGGUUGUAAACCCCUUUCAGGAGGGACGAAGGUUCGGCGGUGAAUAGCCGUCCGGACUGACGGUACCUCCACAAGAAGCCCCGGCUAACUACGUG
rnacentral:rRNA from 1 species